rnacentral:tRNA from 1 species
GGAGAGGUGCCGGAGCGGCUUAACGGAGCGGUCUUGAAAACCGCGACUCUUACGAGUCUCGUGGGUUCAAAUCCCACCCUCUCCG